ensembl:lncRNA
CUACAUUUCGUGGGGGGGGGCGUGGGGUGGUGGUGGUGGUGAUGGUGGUCGUGGGCAGCACGGUGGUGGGGGGAAGAUCACCUGUGGGCACAGAGGAGCCCUGAGGACACAGCCCAUGUGCAGCCUUCAUGUCCACACGCUGGGGCAGAGGAACCACAGCGAUGCAGCCCAGCAUGAUGGAUCCGCACACCCACUUCUGUUGCAUGCAGCGGGAUAAACCAUGGAGCAGUUACCAUAGGAGCUUGCAUUGAGCUGCAGGCAGAGGGAGGUGUUGCAGCACUCCAUGGUGCACUGCUGUAGGGUCACGCUGCCAUUGGUCCUGCACAGCUCUGCACUGCACACACUGCUGCAUCUGGCGGUGUAGUUCAUGCUGGAGAAACGAUAAAGCUGCAACAGCAGAGCCAAAGGAAAAAAAAAAAACCCACUAGAAGUGCGAAGAGAGGCCAUUACAGAGGAGCAAAAAUAAUGGACAGAGUGGGACAGUGGCAAAGGAAAAUCAGGUGUUGUGCUCACAGCCUCCAGCAGCCGCUCUAAGCUCCAUACCUCGCAGAAGGUCUCAUUGUAGCAGGUGGUCGUCAUGUUGCUGUGGGCCUCAUCCUGGUAACACCUCUCCCCGGAGCACUGGAAGCUCUGACAGCUGAGCUGGGGGGAGGACACGCCAGGGGGUCACAGCGCAGCAGAGCUUCUGCAUGGCCAGCAUCCCCCUUCCCUCUCCUUACCGGGGUUUGUUCUGUAUGGUUCAUGGAGGCGUUGGCAGCCACUGAAGCCUGGCUGAUGGACACCCAAGUGGUGGUGGUGGUCACUGAGGUGUGGUUGGAGGCAGCCAUUGAGGCACUGGCGGUAGCCACUGAGGCAUGGGUGGUGACUAUGGACAUGUUGACCACUUUGCGCCCUAAAAAAAACACAAAGUUCCCCCUUGGUGAAGGAAAUAGCAUCCAUGUGGUCCCCCAUCCCAAACAAGAACAAAGAUCUGCUUGCAGCCAGCAGGGAGGAGCCUGCCCAGCGGGUCAGAGAUAAUCGCUGACUAUGGAAACGUUACAGCAGCUUCUCCCUUCCCCUUCGAGGCACAUUGCAUAGGAGAUACAGCCAUUUCUGGGGUCAAAACCUCAAGAAAAUUUCCUGAGCACAGCUCUGUCCAAUAGCUUACAGCCAAGAGGGGACAGGGAUGUUGUCCCAUCACACCAAGUUGCCUUUGCCCCAUUCCCAAGAGGAUCCUCUGCUGUGCACUCACCUGCUAUGGCAAGAGGGCCCUGGGUGCAGAAGUGCAGAGCCAAGACACAGAGCAGCAGGCCUGAAACAGAGCAGAGACAACUGGGACCAUCAGAGGCCAAGUUCAGCCCUGGCAGUCUCCCUGGGAGAGCAGGGAUCCGUGCAGGCUGUGGGGUAGCAGCUCUGGGAUGGACACUGCUCAGAGCCCCCAUUACCUGGAGUAGGGAAGAGCUGCCGGUGAGCUGCCAUCACCCCCACCAGCAACCUCAGCUGGGACCUGGCAGAGAGAUGCAAUCAGAACUGGGCAAUCAGAACCAGCUCAUCACCCAGAAGUUAUCCUUGUCUGGCAUCAGAGACCAAGAGCCAGGCUCUUCCAGUCUCGGUUGCAGCACGAGAAGGCUGAACAAGCACUGAGGGAUCCAGGGAGCACUUCUCCCUGUGGGCUCAGACCCAGGGCUCAGCCCAGCCCUGCCAAACAGGAGCCCCCUGGGAGGCCAUGUGCUGCUGUUGGUGUGGUAACUCUCCACCUCUGUGUAACACAGAGCCGUGAACAGCACCAGCUUGGCACCACACACAGCAAACUGCUGAUGCUGUUGUAAAUGAAGAAGCUGCCCCAGCUCAGGAUGGUGCCACACACAUACCUGUUGCAUGGAAUUCUGAAUCCAGUUGUCUGCAUUGCCUCCCAACACCGACCCCUUGCACUGCUCACACCACACGUGGGGAAGUUCCACCUCCUUUGGUGUUUCCUGAGAUACACUGCUCUCCAUUGAAUGAAAGCAGACAUCUUCCUUGCAAAAUCUUUGCCAGUUUAAAUAAGGAAGCAGCAGAGAUGACUCCAAACAUGCUCCAAGGCUGCUUUCCAAAUACCCCCCCUUCUGCCUUAGGAUUUAAGCUCAGAUAGCAUUCCCAGGGCACUCUUUCAGAAUGACAGAAAACAAUACAGGCUGGAGUUUCUCACCUCCCAGAGCAGGGCAGCCCCCCAACCCAGGCCAGGUUAGGACAGCCCUUACUGAGGCUGGUACAGCUCCAGCACAGCCAGACCCACCUCCAGGACAGGCUAAGAACAAACCAGAAAAGGCUCACCCUGAAACAAGCUUCUCAACCCCAAGCAGGGAAAGGAAUCUGCUCAUAGACUCACCCUCUGUGUCCGUGCCCUGAAAGCCCCUGCACACCAGAGGAAGCCUGCAGCUGCUGCAAGAGAUGGAGAGCCUCUGAGCACCGAGCAGCUACAGCACCUGCAGUACCUGCAGCACAGCACAUGCCCUGGUGGCAGUGAGCAGCCCCACCCUGCCAACCACCAGCUGCGCAAACCGUCACCCAGGGAGAAGGGUUUGUUACCUGCAGCCCUGCUGGAUUUGGAGAUGCAAAUGUCCAUGCGCAGUGACAACUGAGAAAAGGAUUUUCAAGGCAAGAGAUGUCGCGCCAGCACGUCUAUGCCAAAAUGAAAGCCCACUGUAGGCAGUGUGAGGGCUGCCAUAAACCCCAAUGCCUCUGCCCAGUGCCUCUUUUCUCCUCACAGGACUUUAAUUCGUGUGGUAGUAUCACAGUUCAAGAGAACCAAAGGAAGGAUCUG